rnacentral:tRNA from 1 species
CAAAUUGGAGCUGAAAUAGUUUUUCAUUUACAUUGAAAGGAAGAUUGAUAAAUACAAUUCGAUUUGA